AGAGUUUGAUCAUGGCUCAGGAUGAACGCUGGCGGCGUGCCUAACACAUGCAAGUCGAGCGAUUUACUUCGGUAAAGAGCGGCGGACGGGUGAGUAACGCGUGGGUAACCUGCCCUGUACACACGGAUAACAUACCGAAAGGUAUGCUAAUACGAGAUAAUAUGCUUUUAUCGCAUGGUAGAAGUAUCAAAGCUUUUGCGGUACAGGAUGGACCCGCGUCUGAUUAGCUAGUCGGUAAGGUAACGGCUUACCAAGGCGACGAUCAGUAGCCGACCUGAGAGGGUGAUCGGCCACAUUGGAACUGAGACACGGUCCAAACUCCUACGGGAGGCAGCAGUGGGGAAUAUUGCACAAUGGGCGAAAGCCUGAUGCAGCAACGCCGCGUGAGCGAUGAAGGCCUUCGGGUCGUAAAGCUCUGUCCUCAAGGAAGAUAAUGACGGUACUUGAGGAGGAAGCCCCGGCUAACUACGUGCCAGCAGCCGCGGUAAUACGUAGGGGGCUAGCGUUAUCCGGAAUUACUGGGCGUAAAGGGUGCGUAGGUGGUUUCUUAAGUCAGAGGUGAAAGGCUACGGCUCAACCGUAGUAAGCCUUUGAAACUGGGAAACUUGAGUGCAGGAGAGGAGAGUGGAAUUCCUAGUGUAGCGGUGAAAUGCGUAGAUAUUAGGAGGAACACCAGUUGCGAAGGCGGCUCUCUGGACUGUAACUGACACUGAGGCACGAAAGCGUGGGGAGCAAACAGGAUUAGAUACCCUGGUAGUCC
rnacentral:rRNA from 1 species